AGGAGGAUGUCCUCUUCAAAGAUCUGGUUGAUUUUGCAAAAGCCAAGUCUUCAUCAUCCUCGAAAGCUAAUAAUAGGUCAUAUUGAGUGAUGUCAUUGAUAUUGUUAUUCGUGGUGGUACAGAUUUUCAUAUCUUAACUCUUAUCAGCUUUUACUUCAUUUAGAGUCUUUAAAUAAAUGUGGAUGGGAAUUCGGCUGGUGCAUUUUCCUGUGACAUGGUAUCUAUAGUCUUUGCACUUGCUGCCCAGUGACAUAUAGUGUAGCUGAGAUGAUGUGAAUUGUUUCCUACAUU
rnacentral:lncRNA from 1 species